rnacentral:rRNA from 1 species
UGAAGGUCUUCGGAUUGUAAACUUCUGUUGGGUGGGAAGAAAAGUUUAUUUUUAAUAGAAAUAAAAAAUGACGGUACCACCAAAGAAAGCACUGGCUAAUCUCGUGC